rnacentral:rRNA from 1 species
CUUAACACAUGCAAGUCGAGGGGCAGCACGAUGUAGCAAUACAUUGGUGGCGACCGGCGCACGGGUGAGUAACGCGUAUGCAACCUACCUAUCAGAGGGGAAUAACCCGGCGAAAGUCGGACUAAUACCGCAUAAAACAGGGGUUCCACAUGGAAAUAUUUGUUAAAGAAUUAUCGCUGAUAGAUGGGCAUGCGUUCCAUUAGAUAGUUGGUGAGGUAACGGCUCACCAAGUCCACGAUGGAUAGGGGUUCUGAGAGGAAGGUCCCCCACACUGGUACUGAGACACGGACCAGACUCCUACGGGAGGCAGCAGUGAGGAAUAUUGGUCAAUGGGCGAGAGCCUGAACCAGCCAAGUCGCGUGAAGGAUGAAGGAUCUAUGGUUUGUAAACUUCUUUUAUAUGGGAAUAAAGUGAGGAACGUGUUCCUUUUUGUAUGUACCAUAUGAAUAAGCAUCGGCUAACUCCGUGCCAGCAGCCGCGGUAAUACGGAGGAUGCGAGCGUUAUCCGGAUUUAUUGGGUUUAAAGGGUGCGUAGGUGGUUAAUUAAGUCAGCGGUGAAAGUUUGUGGCUCAACCAUAAAAUUGCCGUUGAAACUGGUUGACUUGAGUAUAUUUGAGGUAGGCGGAAUGCGUGGUGUAGCGGUGAAAUGCAUAGAUAUCACGCAGAACUCCGAUUGCGAAGGCAGCUUACUAAAC